AAUAUGAUAAUACCCGAUAACGAAUUUUUUAUAUUAAAAUAUUUUAAUUAUUCUUGUUAGUAAUUAAAAUAUUGAAUUUCGUUUAAUUUCUUAUAAUGGUUUUUCAAUGUGUCAUUCGUUCGUGCAAAACAAAAUCAAAUAAAGAUUGCAUCAUGCAUCGCUGGCCUAGAAAUCAUGAAAUGCUUUUAAAAUGGGCAAAUGCGAUACGUAUGUUUCAACCAGACUUUACUCCGACGACGCAUACAAAAAUAUGCAGUAGUCAUUUUAUAUAAUCUGACUAUAACUUGAGGUUUACUGGUAAAAAAAUGUUAAAAAAAGAAGCUGUGCCAAGUGUAUUUAAACUGGAAUAUAUUAUAGAAGCAUGUAAGAAAUUAUUCAAUGUUGAAAUGGUCGAAGUCUUUGAUGAUGAAGAAGGAAGAAAUUUACUAUAAAUGCCAAUGGAUGAAGAAGUUAUUAAAAAAUUUGACAUCUGAUCACCUG